rnacentral:rRNA from 1 species
UACGAAGGGUGCAAGCGUUAAUCGGAAUUAUUGGGCGUAAAGGGUGCGUAGGUGGUCAUAUUAGUCGUCUGUUAAAUCCCUCGGCUCAACCGAGGAGGUGCGGGCGAAACGGUAUGACUAGAGGGCGUGAGAGGUACAUGGAACUCUAGGUGUAGGGGUGAAAUCCGUUGAUAUCUAGGGGAACACCGAAAGCGAAGGCAAUGUACUGGCGCGUUCCUGACACUCAAGCACGAAAGCAUGGGUAGCGAACGGG